rnacentral:rRNA from 1 species
GACGAACGCUGGCGGCGUGCCUAAUACAUGCAAGUCGAGCGGACCAAAGGGAGCUUGCUCCUGGAGGUUAGCGGCGAACGGGUGAGUAACACGUGGGCAACCUGCCUGUAAGACUGGGAUAACAUCGAGAAAUCGGUGCUAAUACCGGAUAAUAAAAAGAACUGCAUGGUUCUUUUUGAAAGAUGGUUUCGGCUAUCACUUACAGAUGGGCCCGCGGCGCAUUAGCUAGUUGGUGGGGUAACGGCUCACCAAGGCGACGAUGCGUAGCCGGCCUGAGAGGGUGAUCGGCCACACUGGGACUGAGACACGGCCCAGACUCCUACGGGAGGCAGCAGUAGGGAAUCUUCCGCAAUGGACGAAAGUCUGACGGAGCAACGCCGCGUGAGUGAUGAAGGUUUUCGGAUCGUAAAACUCUGUUGUUAGGGAAGAACAAGUGCCGUUCGAAAGGGCGGCACCUUGACGGUACCUAACGAGAAAGCCACGGCUAACUACGUGCCAGCAGCCGCGGUAAAGU